CAGUGUGAGGCACCGCCCGCUCACAGCUAGUCAGGCCCUGUGCCUCUCCGCUCCCUCGCUCCACCAGCCACGCGCCCUCCCUCCCCAACACCUUCCUUAUCCUCUCGCGCCACCCAAGCCCCGCCCAACCCCACCCUCACGCCUAUCAAGAGGUUAACCUCCCACCCUCUCAUCACUACAUAAACUGUUAUCAGGAGAGGUGACCAGGGCAGUGAGGGGCAACAACCAAUAAGCAGGAAGUUGUAGAAAAGUUGAGAUUGUUAAAGCGUGAUACACUAUCACGCCGCGGGUAGUGAGUGUAGCGGGCCAGGUGACAGUAUAAGACACAGCUGGUAGACGAGUGGCGGACAUUAUCCACUUCCCGUCUCGGGCAGUAAUACCAGGUGACAUUCUUGGAUAAGGUCAAAUAUAUUUGUUGUGUACGAGUUGGGUCAUACAGGACCUUGUUAGUAUCUUCUUACGCUUCAGAAGUCAACAAGGAACUUAAGUGUGUACUGUAAGAGGCGUUCACACACUAUCUUGAACCAUCCUUUCCUUGGAAAAAUUCUAAAGUACAAUUUGUGUGUAUAUAAUUUUGUUUAUUUUAUUUUCCUGACUUCUAACAAAGUGAUCUAUACGCAAAACCGCCAAAUAAUAUUUGUUUAUUUUAUCGAACCCAAAACCUGUAAGUGUAUGCUGUGGUGGUGUCAACCAGCGCCGUGAUCACUAGCAACUCAAACAUUGAGUUAACAGACGCCCGAAGGAAAAAAUACAAUUGGAAUCUCAAAGAAGUAACUGAAUUCUAAAAGGGGAUUUAUGAAGAGAAACUCCCAUAAAAUAUACUCAGGAGACGGCCGGUGACGCGGACAAGUCGAAUGGUAGCAA
rnacentral:lncRNA from 1 species